GAAUCACUCGGUCUCCGAUGCAUCUANAUUAGAGUUGAUCAUGGCUCAGAUUGCAACGCUGGCGGCAUGCCUUACACAUGCAAGUCGAACGGUAACAGGUCUUCGGACGCUGACGAGUGGCGAACGGGUGAGUAAUACAUCGGAACGUGCCCAGUCGUGGGGGAUAACUACUCGAAAGAGUAGCUAAUACCGCAUACGAUCUGAGGAUGAAAGCGGGGGACCUUCGGGCCUCGCGCGAUUGGAGCGGCCGAUGGCAGAUUAGGUAGUUGGUGGGAUAAAAGCUUACCAAGCCGACGAUCUGUAGCUGGUCUGAGAGGACGACCAGCCACAGCUGGGACUGAGACACGGCCCAGACUCCUACGGGAGGCAGCAGUGGGGAAUNUUGGACAAUGGGCGAAAGCCUGAUCCAGGCAAUGCCGCGUGCAGGAUGAAGGCCUUCGGGU
rnacentral:rRNA from 1 species